rnacentral:rRNA from 1 species
CACGCUGUAAACGAUGAUCACUAGAUGUUACCUCUGCUUGCAGGGGUAGUAUCGUAGCUAACGCGUUAAGUGAUCCGCCUGGGGANCGAGAAACCUUACCUAGGCUUGACAUGCUUUUGGCGGCUGUAGAGAUACAGCUUUCUAGGUUUACCUAGACAAUUGCACAGGUGC